AAAGUGGAAUUCAGCCAAGGAUGAUUUGCCGGCAGUUGUAUAUAUCAUUCAUUAAGAUAUAUGUCGGCAAAUUUUUCUUGGCUAUAUUUCGCUUUCA
rnacentral:pre_miRNA from 1 species